AUGUCCUCGCCUCGGCGGUAUAUACAGUAAAAUUCAAAUGAUACAGUGAAAAUUAGUAUGUCCCCUGAGCAAGAAUUACGUGCAAAAUCGUGAAGUGUUCCACGUUUUC